CCUACGGGUGGCUGCAGUGAGGAAUAUUGGUCAAUGGGCGCAAGCCUGAACCAGCCAAGUCGCGUGAGGGAUGACGGUCCUAUGGGUUGUAAACUUCUUUUAUAUGGGAAUAAAACGUUCCACGUGUGGGAUUUUGUAUGUACCAUAUGAAUAAGGAUCGGCUAACUCCGUGCCAGCAGCCGCGGUAAUACGGAGGAUCCGAGCGUUAUCCGGAUUUAUUGGGGUUAAAGGGAGCGUAGGCCGGCUUUUAAGUCAGCUGUGAAAGUCCGCGGCUCAACCGUGGAAUUGCAGUUGAAACUGGAGGCCUUGAGUGCACACAGGGAUGCCGGAAUUCAUGGUGUAGCGGUGAAAUGCUUAGAUAUCAUGAAGAACUCCGAUCGCGAAGGCAAGUGUCCGGGGUGCAACUGACGCUGAGGCUCGAAAGUGCGGGUAUCAAACAGGAUUAGAUACCCGUGUAGUC
rnacentral:rRNA from 1 species